CCUAGGACCUGUUCCUGGGCCACAC
rnacentral:rRNA from 1 species